UUGACCUCAAAUCAGGUAGGACUACCCGCUGAACUUAAGCAUAUCAAUAAGCGGAGGAAAAGAAACUAACAAGGAUUCCCCUAGUAACUGCGAGUGAAGCGGGAAGAGCUCAAAUUUUGAAUCUGGCAGUCCUUGGCUGUCCGAGUUGUAAUCUAGAGAAGUGUUUUCCGCGCUGGACCGUGUAUAAGUCUCCUGGAAGGGAGCGUCGUAGAGGGUGAGAAUCCCGUCUUUGACAUGGACCACCAGUGCUAUGUGAUGCGCUCUCGACGAGUCGAGUUGUUUGGGAAUGCAGCUCAAAACGGGUGGUAAACUCCAUCUAAAGCUAAAUACAGGCGAGAGACCGAUAGCGAACAAGUACCGUGAGGGAAAGAUGAAAAGAACUUUGGAAAGAGAGUUAAACAGUACGUGAAAUUGCUGAAAGGGAAACGCUUGAUGUCAGUCACGUUGGCUGGGGAUCAACCUUGCUUCUCGCUGGGUGUACUUCCCGGUCGACGGGUCAGCAUCAGUUUCGAUCGCCGUACAAGGGUGAGGGGAACGUGGCACUCCUCGGAGUGUGUUAUAGCCUUUUGUCAUAUGCGGCGGUUGGGACUGAGGGAGCUCAGCACGGCUUCUUGCUUGUGCUUAGGAUGCUGGCAUAAUGGCCUUAAGCGACCCGUCUUGAAACACGG
rnacentral:rRNA from 1 species